UACGUAGGGGGCGAGCGUUGUCCGAAGUUACUGGGCGUAAAGCGCGCGUAGGCGGGUUCUUAAGUGAGGGGUGAAAGGUUUGGGCUCAACCCAAACACUGCCUUUCAUACUGGGAGCCUUGAGUAUGGGAGAGGUGAGUGGAAUUCCUGGUGUAGCGGUGAAAUGCGUAGAUAUCAGGAGGAACACCUGUGGCGAAAGCGGCUCACUGGACCAUAACUGACGCUGAUGCACGAAAGCUAGGGGAGCAAACAGG
rnacentral:rRNA from 1 species